UACGGGGGGGGGUAAGCGUUGUUCGGAAUUACUGGGCGUAAAGGGCUCGUAGGCGGCCAACUAAGUCAGACGUGAAAUCCCUCAGCUUAACUGGGGAACUGCGUCUGAUACUGGAUGGCUUGGAUUCGAGAGAGGAAUGCGGAAUUCCAGGUGUAGCGGUGAAAUGCGUAGAUAUCUGGAGGAACACCGGUGGCGAAGGCGGCAUUCUGGACCGAUAUUGACGCUGAGGAGCGAAAGCCAGGGGAGCAAAGCGGG
rnacentral:rRNA from 1 species